rnacentral:rRNA from 1 species
CAUCCUACGGGAGGCAGCAGUAGGGAAUUUUCGUCAAUGGGCGCAAGCCUGAACGAGCCAAGUCGCGUGAGGGACGACUGCCCUAUGGGUUGUAAACCUCUUUUAUAAGGGAAGAAUAAAUGCUACGUGUAGCAUGAUGCCUGUACCUUAUGAAUAAGCAUCGGCUAACUCCGUGCCAGCAGCCGCGGUAAUACGGAGGAUGCGAGCGUUAUCCGGAUUUAUUGGGUUUAAAGGGUGCGUAGGCGGUUUUUUAAGUUAGUGGUUAAACGUCGGGGCUUCACCUUGAUUUGCCAUUAAUACUGUAA